CACAACUGAAUCAAAAAGCCGCAGACCGCAGGUGCAUUUGCUUAAAUAUCCUGCCGAGGUUUUACACCCUAAAGCAACGAAAAGUUGAAGCUAUAUAGCCUUUUCAGUUGUUGCUGUAAGACCCCGCCUGCCCUGGUUGGGGUUUUUAUUUUCCCGG
rfam:Cyanothece sp. PCC 7425, complete genome.